rnacentral:lncRNA from 1 species
CCGGGACGACCCUGGCUUGCACGAAGUAGGUGUUCUUGCCUUCGCCAGUGGUUCCUGGUGGUUUCCCCAAACUAUGAUCUAUGGAUAUCCUCUUCAGAAUAAGAGGUGGUUUCGAUCUGGCUUUUCAGCUGGCGCCUCCUAAAGAAAUGUUUAUCAAGAAUGCACUAAGACAGGUAUUGAAUGACCUGACUACCAAGCUCUCCUCAGAUGCUCUUGUGUUCAGAAUUUGCAACAGCUCUGUGUACCUCUGGCCGAACAGUGACGCAAACACGGGAGAACUGACUGACAGCUCUGCCUAUUUGAUCAAGAGGAGGAUACAAAGCGAAAAUUCAUGAAAAAGAAAGACAAAAAGUUAACCGACAUGCAACAAAUAGUAAAUAUAGACCUCAUGCUGGAAAUAUCGACCCCUCUGGGAGCCGUAACCCCCAUCAUCGAAAGGGAAAACGAAGAACACCACUACAUUAAUAUGAGCUUGCCAAUCGAUGCGGUUGUGUCCGUUGCUCCAGAGGAAACAUGGGGAAAAGUGCGCAAACUUCUAGUGGAUGCAAUUCUUAAUCAGCUAGUUGAUGUGGAAAAAUGCAUCUUGAGAUAUAUGAAAGGAACAUCUAUUGUGGUCCCUGAACCACUGCACUUUCUAUUGCCAGGGGGAAAGAAUCUCGUAACAGUUUUAUAUCCAUCCGGAAUCCCAGAUGAUCAGCUACAAGCCUAUAGAAAG